AUUGAACGCUGGCGGCAGGCCUAACACAUGCAAGUCGAACGGUAACAGGAAGAAGCUUGCUUCUUUGCUGACGAGUGGCGGACGGGUGAGUAAUGUCUGGGAAACUGCCUGUUUGAGGGGGAUAACUACUGGAAACGGUAGCUAAUACCGCAUAACGUCGCAAGACCAAAGAGGGGGACCUUCGGGCCUCUUGCCAUCGGAUGUGCCCAGAUGGGAUUAGCUAGUAGGUGGGGUAACGGCUCACCUAGGCGACGAUCCCUAGCUGGUCUGAGAGGAUGACCAGCCACACUGGAACUGAGACACGGUCCAGACUCCUACGGGAGGCAGCAGUGGGGAAUAUUGCACAAUGGGCGCAAGCCUGAUGCAGCCAUGCCGCGUGUAUGAAGAAGGCCUUCGGGUUGUAAAGUACUUUCAGCGGGGAGGAAGGGAGUAAAGUUAAUACCUUUGCUCAUUGACGUUACCCGCAGAAGAAGCACCGGCUAACUCCGUG
rnacentral:rRNA from 1 species